CUUGGAAGCACUUCAUUGUUCCAUCGGGAGAUACCGCAAAGCCUACGUCGGAGAGGGCGGGCGGACGGCGGCAGGGAGGGGCGGAAUCCUGGAGCUGCUUCGCCCAGUGCCAAGCUCGGGCGAGCACACUUCCUGUAAUCUGCUGGGUGAACCAGUGGGAUGAAAGGAGGUGGCAAAAAGCCCCGGACUGUAGCAGCGCUGCUCCGGAGACUCCUCCCAGCUGGGCUCGGCAGCUGUCCGGCUUUGUCUAAGGAAAGCCUUCUCUUCAACCUUCACCAACCCUGUUAUCCACCUCAUCGGUUGAUUCUUCCUUACUACACUGUAGAGUAAUCCUCCCUUAUCUGUGGAGGAUACAUCCAAGACCUUCAGUGGAUGCCUAAAACCAUGGAUAAGUACUGAACCUUAUACAUGCUGUGUAUUUUCCUAAACUACAUACUUAUGAUAAAAUUU